rnacentral:rRNA from 1 species
UAGUCCACGCCGUAAACGAUGUCAACUAGCCGUUGGCCUCAUCUAGAGGUUAGUGGCGAAGCUAACGCGAUAAGUUGACCGCCUGGGGAGUACGCCGGCAACGGUAAAACUCAAAGGAAUUGACGGGGGCCCGCACAAGCGGUGGAGCUAUGUGGUUUAAUUCGAUGCAACGCGAAAAACCUUACCUAGGCUUGACAUGCUCGUCAUACCCUCCCGAAACGGAGGGGUCAUUUCGGAUUGGACGAUGCACAGGUGCUGCAUGGCCGUCGUCAGCUCGUGUCGUGAGAUGUUGGGUUAAGUCCCGUCAACGAGCGCAACCCUUGUCUUUAGUUGCCAUCAUUUAGUUGGGCACUCUAGAGAAACUGCCGGUGACAAACCGGAGGAAGGUAAGGAUGACGUCAAGUCAGCAUGCCCUUACGCUCUGGGCUACACACGUGCUACAAUGGUCGUGACAAAGAGUUGCUAGUCUGCGAAGGCAAGCCAAUCUCAUAAACGCGGCCUUAGUUCGGAUUG